UGACACAACUUCUCCUGCUGUGGAAAGCACCCUCUCACAUGGCACAGAUGAGGCUGGAGUGCAAAGGUAUUGCAAUGACAACUGGUAGAGGUUAGGAUAAAUGGUCUUGUGGUUCUGCCAGUAUGUCAUUGGAUCCUGACAUCUGGUAAUAUUGCCCUCUGCAAGAUAUCUGCACCUCCUGGAUGGCAUCAGCUGUGGCACUUUUGGUCUGCCUGCCUACUUCGGUGUCAAGAUGGUGCCAAAGGUUAUCUAAAAACAACAAAUCGACAUUUUAGUACAUCUUGUCCAAACAAACAACAAAUAAUGCGGAAUAACAUGCCUGAGUUGGGUGCAGACAGCUGUUGUGAAGAUGGUCCCGGCCGGGGGCUCAUUUGUGUGUCCGAUAAUAGAUGCAUAUUCUGACCGCAGUCUACUGAUGACCUCAUUGCAUCUGGAGGAACUGCGGAACCCAAGUGAUUUAAAUCUGGGGUCUAGAAGUGUUGCUAGGGUCAACGCACUUUUUGACUCCAGAUUGGAAGCAGAGUCUGUGACUCGACGCUUCAGGUUUUYAUGUAGGUGUUUGGCUGGCUGUGUGCGCAAGGUUGAUGCAUUACUCUCUAGAGCAAGAUGGAGCAUUUUCAUCAUUGGGAUGACCUUGGAUCCUGACACUCGCCUCUCUUCAGACAACUCCACUGUAGCUUGACGGAAAAGAGCAAGCACAAGAAGUGUUUCUCCUGUAUGCUCAUCAGCUGUUUUUGGUUGCGUUUACUGUGCGCACCAACAGACUAGGUGAACACUGGAAAUAGAGAGACUUCUAAUGGCUUUCUUCUUUGCACUCAUCGAAGGAAGGAACUGCAAUGGCUGCUCAGAAGAGGGAAGAGGGCGGCCAGAACUGCUCUGGGUCGCAGAGAUGAUCCUCUGGAGAGCUGCACACAGAAACAGUUUGUCAGGAUUCAAUGGAAGGACACCAAGAGUUUCUGGUUCAGAGGAAGUGUCACAUAAAAUGGACUUUUUUCAGCUUCACAUCAUGUUAUAAUGUUAUUCCCUCAUCGAAAACA